CUGGAGAAGCUCGGUCAUUGACGAAGUCCGGAAGAAAUUCGGAAUAGAGAUCCGACUGGUGGAGCCCAUCCAUUGUAAGAGUUCGUCUGUGAUCCAUCCACUGUAGAAGUUCGGAUGGAGUCCGACUCUGGUAGGAGCUCGGAUGAAGUCCGCUUGCAAUAGAAGUUCGGGGUAGAGAUCCGAUUCUUGCAGGAGCCCG
rnacentral:lncRNA from 1 species